AUUGAACGCUGGCGGCAGGCCUAACACAUGCAAGUCGAGCGGAUGAAGGGAGCUUGCUCCUGGAUUCAGCGGCGGACGGGUGAGUAAUGCCUAGGAAUCUGCCUGGUAGUGGGGGAUAACGUCCGGAAACGGGCGCUAAUACCGCAUACGUCCUGAGGGAGAAAGUGGGGGAUCUUCGGACCUCACGCUAUCAGAUGAGCCUAGGUCGGAUUAGCUAGUUGGUGGGGUAAAGGCCUACCAAGGCGACGAUCCGUCACUGGUCUGAGAGGACGAUCAGUCACACUGGAACUGAGACACGGUCCAGACUCCUACGGGAGGCAGCAGUGGGGAAUAUUGGACAAUGGGCGAAAGCCUGAUCCAGCCAUGCCGCGUGUGUGAAGAAGGUCUUCGGAUUGUAAAGCACUUUAAGUUGGGAGGAAGGGCAGUAAGUUAAUACCUUGCUGUUUUGACGUUACCAACAGAAUAAGCACCGGCUAACUUCGUG
rnacentral:rRNA from 1 species